UACGUAGGGUGCGAGCGUUAAUCGGAAUUACUGGGCGUAAAGCGUGCGCAGGCGGUUUUGCAAGCCGGAUGUGAAAUCCCCGGGCUCAACCUGGGAAUGGCAUUCGGGACUGCAAGGCUGGAGUGCGGCAGAGGAGACUGGAAUUCCUGGUGUAGCAGUGAAAUGCGUAGAUAUCAGGAGGAAUACCGAUGGCGAAGGCAGGUCUCUGGGACGGUACUGACGCUGAGACGCGAAAGCGUGGGGAGCGAACAGG
rnacentral:rRNA from 1 species